rnacentral:lncRNA from 1 species
UGCACACGCUCAGAUACUCACAUGUUGCAUGAGGUGUGUACACAAGACACACAUGCACACGCUCAGAAACAUCCUGUACACAACCACACUCAGACAUGCACGUUGCAUGUGUCAUGCAUACAUACACCCAGACACGCUGCACAUGCCGUGUAUACACAGACACACAUUCAGACAUGCUGUGUGCAUGUGUACACAGACAUGCAUACUCAAAGACACUUGCAUAUGUACCUACAUUCACACAUACACACUCAAAGACACAUAUAUACUCACAUUUACAUACACACUUGCAGUCCCAGUCACACAUGGUUGUACACAC